AGUGAACGCUGGCGGCGGGCCUAACACAUGCAAGUCGAACGGACAGACAGUCAGCGUUUGCCUUUACGGGUGGCGCCUGGCGGGUGUGUGAGCCAUGCAUCGGCGACUUAUAAUACGUGGAGAAUCACGUAGGGCCACUUACGAUACUACCGCAUACGAUCUACCGCAGUAAGCAGUAGUUCUUGAGACAUUGCGCGUUUUAAUAAGCCGGUUUCGUAUUACCUAGUCGACGUGGUAAAGGCUCACCAAGCCCAAGCUGCGUAGCUGGUCUUACAGGAUGAUCGGCCACACUGGAACUGAGACACGGUCCAGACUCCUACGGGAGGCAGCAGUGGGGAAUAUUCGGCAAUGGGCGCAAGCCUGACCCAGCCAUACCGAGUGAGUGAAGAAGGCCUUCGGGUUGUAAAGCCCUGUUAUUGGGAAAGAAAAGAAGCAUAAGAAUCAAUCCCAGUACUGACGGUACCUAAACAGAAAGCACCGGCUAACUUCGUG
rnacentral:rRNA from 1 species